rnacentral:misc_RNA from 1 species
AAAGGGAGAGACCCCAAAAUCACGGUAUGGGAUGUUCUUUGCCUAGUUUUUUUUAUGAGAAGUUCUUAGUAGAACACCCAAAAAAGUGGUUUUCUCAUCAUUUCUAAAGAUUAAGAAGUUUGGUUGUUGGGGCCAUGGAACUAAUUGCCAAUGUUCUACAUGAACCGUAGGUAGAGAUUCAAAACAGUGAAUUAUCAACUAAUGGAUAACUUCAAGUUAGAAGUUGCAAAACAGGGCCUUGAUAGAGUGGAUAAUGAAAAUGCAUUAUGAUCUCUCAUUGUGAUAAAAGAAAAUGAAUCCCUAAUGAAAUUUCUAUGCUUGUUAGGCAUUCUUAAAUUUGUCACCAUGCAACCAACCACCAGUCUAUUACCAUGGCACCAUCUCAUUGAUUCGUUAUAAUACUGCCACCAUUGUUGUUGAUACUGUUGGCCUCCCUGAAACCCUACAUUCAUCAUAUCUGUAACUUGUGCCAUUGAUGCUGUUACCAUUUCACUAAUUCUGACUACCUUCAAACAAUAACAAUUACAAUUGGCACCUUGUCACUGUCAGCACCCUAAUAGCACCAUCGCAAUACUCACUCCAGCAUCCUAAUGUCACUAUCGAAUUGUUUCCAUCAAGUUAUUAUUGUUAUGUUGACGCUGCUGUCUACCCAGUAUAGUAGCUACAUCUUCUAAUGUUCCCAAAGGACAGUAACAACCAAGCACAUUGUAAAACAUGAUCAAGUCAACAAAAAACUGUUAAAUGAUAUGCUUAGGUCAAAUAAUAAAUAAUGAUUACAAAGUGUUUUAAGCUUCCUUAACAUUUUUUUUUUGCUGUUGUAGCCUGUUUAACAAUUUGAUGUAUCCUUUUCUGCAGACAUAGGACAAACUUAGAGGAUG